rnacentral:tRNA from 1 species
GUCCCGGGCAGCCUAGUGGUCAUGGCAUCUGCCCGGUAAGCGGAAGGUCAUGGGUUCGAUUCCCAUCCCUUGACA